rnacentral:rRNA from 1 species
UACGUAGGGUGCGAGCGUUAAUCGGAAUUACUGGGCGUAAAGCGUGCGCAGGCGGAUUAUUAAGCAAGACGUGAAAGCCCCGGGCUUAACCUGGGAAUGGCGUUUUGAACUGGUAGUCUAGAGUGUGUCAGAGGGGGGUGGAAUUCCACGUGUAGCAGUGAAAUGCGUAGAUAUGUGGAGGAACACCAAUGGCGAAGGCAGCCCCCUGGGAUAACACUGACGCUCAUGCACGAAAGCGUGGGGAGCAAACAGG